rnacentral:rRNA from 1 species
AGAGUUUGAUCAUGGCUCAGGACGAACGCUGGCGGCGUGCUUAACACAUGCAAGUCGAACGGAAAGGCCCUUCGGGGUACUCGAGUGGCGAACGGGUGAGUAACACGUGGGUGAUCUGCCCUGCACUUUGGGAUAAGCCUGGGAAACUGGGUCUAAUACCGAAUAUGACCAUGCACUUCCUGGUGUGUGGUGGAAAGCUUUUGCGGUGUGGGAUGGGCCCGCGGCCUAUCAGCUUGUUGGUGGGGUAAUGGCCUACCAAGGCGACAACGGGUAGCCGGCCUGAGAGGGUGACCGGCCACACUGGGACUGAGAUACGGCCCAGACUCCUACGGGAGGCAGCAGUGGGGAAUAUUGCACAAUGGGCGCAAGCCUGAUGCAGCGACGCCGCGUGAGGGACGACGGCCUUCGGGUUGUAAACCUCUUUCAGCACAGACGAAGCGCAAGUGACGGUAUGUGCAGAAGAAGGACCGGCCAACUACGUGCCAGCAGCCGCGGUAAUACGUAGGGUCCGAGCGUUGUCCGGAAUUACUGGGCGUAAAGAGCUCGUAGGUGGUUUGUCGCGUUGUUCGUGAAAACUCACAGCUUAACUGUGGGCGUGCGGGCGAUACGGGCAGACUUGAGUACUGCAGGGGAGACUGGAAUUCCUGGUGUAGCGGUGGAAUGCGCAGAUAUCAGGAGGAACACCGGUGGCGAAGGCGGGUCUCUGGGCAGUAACUGACGCUGAGGAGCGAAAGCGUGGGGAGCGAACAGGAUUAGAUACCCUGGUAGUCCAA